rfam:Canis lupus familiaris chromosome 2, whole genome shotgun sequence.
GCCUGGCUGGCUCAGUUGGUAGAACAUGCAACUCCCAAUCUCAGGGUCAUGAGUUCAAGCCCCAUGUUGGGCA